ensembl:lncRNA
AAAAAAAGGCGCUUGCUGUUGUCUUCCGCUCACUUCUCAUUUAACCAAUAAGCGUCAUUCGUUGCACGCUUCACCCCUCAGUUUCAAGGUGGUAUGGAAGAACCUGCCCCAGAGUAGGUACUACAUUCUCCUCAGAAAAGGGUCUUACAGGGGUGGUUCCUAAGGUGGAAAUGUGCACAAGGGUUCGAGGCACACAAAAAAAGGGGCCCUUGAGUUCCUGUGGUAGAAAAACAGCUGUACAUUUAAUGUACUAACUGGUUGUGAUUCAGAGACAGUUCUUGGUACUAUCCACCCCUUGGUCUUCAGUGCAUGGAUGAGCUCUGUUGAAAGGUUACAGUGGGCUCUGGUUUGGCAUUGGAAGCUCAGCGAAAACAGUCUAUUUGGCUCAGGUGGAUUGUUUUGGUGAUAACUAUCCGUUCAAGGCGUGGAUUCUGGAUACAGGCAUGGCAACAUAUAUUCUUCUCUGACAGGGAAUUGUAUUGUAGUUGUUUGUUCUGUAAGCGUCUAGAGUGAGGUGUCUCACUUGAAUGAAAUGCUCAGUCAGGAGUAAACAGAUGUCAUGCAUAAUGUAGGCUACCUAAACAACAAUUACAUUUUCCAUUCAGGUAGUCGGCAGUGGUACAGGAGGUAAAGAAGUCGUUUAGUAAUCAGAAGGUUGCUAGUUCGAUUCCCUGUCGAAGCGUCCUUGAGCAAGACACUGAACCCCUAAUUGCUCCUGAUGUGCAGUGUGCCAUCAGUGUAAAUGUAAAAUGUGUAUACAUUGUAAGUCGCUUUGGAUAAAAGCGUCUGCUAAAUGACUAAAUGCAAAUGUAAAUGUUAUCACCACUCUUUCCCGAAGAAUUGAAAUGAAUUGAAGACCUCAGUCUAUCAACAUUAUGAGUAAUCUGCCAGUCAGUGCUGGGUUUGGUUGUGGAUCAUUUCUUCAACUAGUUAUAAAAUAAAGUUUCUUCUAGAAGAGUCAAGAGACUUGUUGAGUAGUAAUGCCUUAAUUGAAGAUCAAAAAAGAGAGGCAGAUCAUGAAGUGUCUGAUGUUACAAGGAAGUGUCAGAAUUAUUUAAAUUCAAUAAAUGAAACUCCCACCUUUUACCUCUCACUCUUGUCAUGCUAAGUGUGGCCUAUCAUUAAGGAACAGCACCCCCCCUAGCAACGUGCCACUAUUAUGUUGGGUUC